rnacentral:rRNA from 1 species
AACGAACGCUGGCGGCAGGCCUAACACAUGCAAGUCGAGCGAAGCCUUCGGGCUUAGCGGCGGACGGGUGAGUAACGCGUGGGAACGUGCCCUUUGGUACGGAAUAGCCCCGGGAAACUGGGAGUAAUACCGUAUGUGGUCGAGAGACGAAAGAUUUAUCGCCAAAGGAUCGGCCCGCGUUGGAUUAGGUAGUUGGGUGGGUAAUGGCCUACCAAGCCGACGAUCCAUAGCUGGUUUGAGAGGAUGAUCAGCCACACUGGGACUGAGACACGGCCCAGACUCCUACGGGAGGCAGCAGUGGGGAAUCUUAGACAAUGGGGGAAACCCUGAUCUAGCCAUGCCGCGUGAUCGAUGAAGGCCUUAGGGUUGUAAAGAUCUUUCAGUGGGGAAGAUAAUGACUGUACCCACAGAAGAAGCCCCGGCUAACUCCGUGCCAGCCGCCGCCGUAAUAC